rfam:Methylocystis bryophila strain S285, complete genome.
AUACCCUACGGAGUGCUCAGGUCCGCCGCAUCUCCUGGGUCCGUGGGGUUGGCCGGCUGGCGUGGGUUGGAGUGGCCUCCUUGAAGCCCGCGCUGGCCGGCCGCCUA